rnacentral:rRNA from 1 species
UAAUGAUGGGUAGGGGAGCUUCCCAUACGGGUUGAAGCAUGACCGUAAGGACAUGUGGACAGUAUGGGAGUGAGAAUGUUGGCAUGAGUAGCGAGAUGUGGGUGAGAAUCCCACAGGCCGUAAACCCAAGGUUUCCAGGGGAAGGUUCGUCCGCCCUGGGUUAGUCGGGACCUAAGCUGAGGCCGAAAGGCGUAGGUGAUGGACAACAGGUUGAUAUUCCUGUACUACCGAUAACCGUUUGAGAGAAGGGAUGACACAGUAGGAUAAGCUAAGCACACUGUUGGUUAUGUGUGCCCAAGCAUUGAGGCAGUCAAAGCAGGCAAAUCCGCUUUGAUAAUGCUGGGAUGUGAUGGGGAGCGAAAUUUAGUAGCGAAGUAGCUGAUUUCACACUGUCAAGAAAAGUCUCUAUCGAGGUUAAAGGUACCCGUACCGCAAACCGACACAGGUGGGUGAGGAGAGUAUCCUAAGGCCAGCGAGAGAACUGUUGUUAAGGAACUCGGCAAAAUGACCCCGUAACUUAGGGAUAAGGGGUGCCACCAUCCGGUGGCCGCAGAGAAUAGGCCCAAGCGACUGUUUACCAAAAACAUAGGUUUCUGCUAAGUCGCAAGACGAUGUAUAGGAGCUGACGCCUGCCCGGUGCUGGAAGGUUAAGGGGAUCUGUUAGAGCAAUCGAAGCAGUGAACUUAAGCCCCAGUAAACGGCGGCCGUAACUAUAACGGUCCUAAGGUAGCGAAAUUCCUUGUCGGGUAAGUUCCGACCCGCACGAAAGGCGUAACGAUUUGGGCACUGUCUCAACAACAGACUCGGUGAAAUUGUAA